rnacentral:rRNA from 1 species
AACGAACGCUGGCGGCAUGCCUAAUAUAUGCAAGUCGAACGAGAUCUUCGGAUCUAGUGGCGCACGGGUGCGUAACGCGUGGGAAUCUGCCCUUGGGUUCGGAAUAACGUCGGGAAACUGACGCUAAUACCGGAUGAUGACGUAAGUCCAAAGAUUUAUCGCCCAAGGAUGAGCCCGCGUAGGAUUAGCUAGUUGGUGGGGUAAAGGCCCACCAAGGCGACGAUCCUUAGCUGGUCUGAGAGGAUGAUCAGCCACACUGGGACUGAGACACGGCCCAGACUCCUACGGGAGGCAGCAGUAGGGAAUAUUGGACAAUGGGGGCAACCCUGAUCCAGCAAUGCCGCGUGAGUGAUGAAGGCCUUAGGGUUGUAAAGCUCUUUUACCCGGGAUGAUAAUGACAGUACCGGGAGAAUAAGCCCCGGCUAACUCCGUGCCAGCCGCCGCUGUAAGAC